rnacentral:rRNA from 1 species
CAGUCGAGCGGCAGCGCGGGGGCAACCCUGGCGGCGAGCGGCGGACGGGUGAGUAAGGCAUCGGAAUCUGCCCUGAUGUGGGGGAUAACGUAGGGAAACUUACGCUAAUACCGCAUACGACCGAGAGGUGAAAGCGGGGGACCGAAAGGCCUCGCGCUGGAGGAGCGGCCGAUGUCCGAUUAGCUAGUUGGUGAGGUAAAGGCUUACCAAGGCGACGAUCGGUAGCUGGUCUGAGAGGAUGAUCAGCCACACUGGGACUGAGACACGGCCCAGACUCCUACGGGAGGCAGCAGUGGGGAAUUUUGGACAAUGGGGGAAACCCUGAUCCAGCCAUGCCGCGUGAGUGAAGAAGGCCUUCGGGUUGUAAAGCUCUUUCGUGAGGGAAGAAAAGGUUCAGGCGAAUACUCUGGAUUGAUGACGGUACCUCAAGAAGAAGCACCGGCUAACUACGUGCCAGCAGCCGCGGUAAUACGUAGGGUGCGAGCGUUAAUCGGAAUUACUGGGCGUAAAGCGUGCGCAGGUGGUUUGUUAAGUCAGAUGUGAAAGCCCCGAGCUUAACUUGGGAACUGCGUUUGAGACUGGCAAGCUAGAGUCUGUCAGAGGGGGGUAGAAUUCCACGUGUAGCAGUGAAAUGCGUAGAGAUGUGGAGGAAUACCAAUGGCGAA